UUGGCUCUAGCUCAAUGGCCAGAGUUCCGCACUGUGACUGCGGUGAUUCCGGUUCGACUCCGGAGAGCCAACCCA
rnacentral:tRNA from 1 species